CUGCUCUCACUAUAGCGUAAUCUGUCCCAGCUGCUUCGAAAUAGUCCUUGAAGUUCUGUAGCAAUCUCCGGCUUAUCAACCUCGAUCACCGAUAGACCAUACACCAGAGAGCAACAGUGAGAACCAACAGGUGUUUCUCCCCUGAGGUCCUGCUUGCAGUUGACGGCAUCGAAGCCCAAAAACGGACAUAGGAAGGAAUGAAGGGUCAAUUUUUUCCUUGAUAAUUCAAGAAGGAAACUGUUGACAGUGAUAUGGAACAGCCUUUCAAAUGUGACGAUAUUUCUGAGAAAUAUUGUGAAAUUCGAAAUGAUUUGCUUCUUAACAGAGAAAAAGAACAGAAGCACCAAUUGCUUUUUUCUAGGUCGCCUGAUUAUCUAGUUUUCUAGCAACCAAUUUAUUAUAGAUACCAGAAUUUGCCUCCUGAAUUUGUCGUUUAGGUCUGUUCACGUAUUUCCAGUCCUUUUGAGUAUAUGAGUUCUACUUCAUUUAACGUCUUGUUUACUUCAGACCUGGGCUAGAAACGGGCGUAUUGUUGGCCUUAAAUGUUGUUUUUUGAUUAACUGUAAAUACCCAGCCUUUGACGUUUGCGUGCGCGCUUGCGUUUGUCAACAUCCCCAUAUCUUCGAUGGUCGGUGAAAGCCAAAAUGAAGAGUGAUCGCGUGGAACAGUUUGUACCGCCGUAUCAUGACUGGUUUUGCAAGCUUUGACAAACCACAUAAUUGAAUCCCAAUUGUGCCGAUUCAGAGAUGAAGAAGGGGUAUAAUUAGAAACACGUGAACCGGGAAGCUGUGAAAAAUACGAACGAAGGAAAAGUUAUAGACGCAUUUAUAACUAUGUGGGUCCAGCUCUGUCUGACUUGCUAUUGACAACGUCAUAAUUAAAGCAGCUCUUCUCAUGGCCUUGAGGUCAACCUUGAAAGUCUGGGGGUCAGCUCGCACCUUGGAAAGAAAUAGAAACGAGAGAGGAGUCACAGCUAUGAAGAUGGACACUUCCAUAUCCCGAUGAUAGGUUCUAUCCACUAAGUUCAAAGAUGACCGGUUCGACCCUUUAAGUUCCAAAGAUGACAGGUUCCCGUCUGAGAAAUGGCGUUUCCAGUUUAUCGCUCAAGUGGAAUUUAGGAGAAACUGGAGGACUUGCAGAGUAGCUAGAAGGUUUACUCAAUACAAAAUAGAAAAGUGGUCGUGGAGAGUUACAAGAGGGUUUACCGGAAAACACAAGGAAAAACAAAUUAAGAGAAACGCUAAGAGGACGUGGAGAGCAAGAGGGAGAAACGCUAAGAGGACGCGGAGUGCAAGAGGGAUCUUCCGAAGAUAAAAAAAUUAUUUUUGCAGCCGGUCAUCCUGGGCAAUGAGUUUUUUUUUUUCUAUUAAAAACUACUAGACACAUCACUUUCACGAUAUAGUAUAUUUUUACGGGAUAACUUCCUUUUUAGUUUUGCAAUAGUUACUGUAACGCUGAGUUAGAGUAAGUAAAGAAAAAUGUCAAAUCUUGAAUAAAUAAAAUUUUAAGUUUC